rnacentral:lncRNA from 1 species
UGUGGUUUCUUUUUUUGCACAGAAGCAUUUUAUCUUGAUGUAAUCACCCUAACCUAUUAUUUGUUGAAGAAAUUAUCCUUUCUCCAUUGUAUAGUUUUGUCACCCUCGUCAAAGAUCAUUUGACUAUAUGCAUGUGGGUUUAUUUCUGGGUUUUCUUUCUUUCUUUCUUUUUUGAGAUGGAGUAACCAUAUCAAUGGCCAAUAUAUAUUUUUCUUUUCUCAUCUAUUCCUGACUAUGUCCUUUCUGAAUUUCUUCCAUACUUUCAACCUGCCCCACAAAAGGCAGAGCUUACUCAUAUUUCUUAUCCUGUUAUCUAAAAACUGGAUAACUGAAAAUUUCAAAAGAAUGUAAUAUGUACCUUUUGGUCAUUAUAUUUGAAAAUAUAUAUGAAGAGGUUAACUUUUUAGGGAAAAUUUAACUAUAAAAAUAAAUCUAGAGAAAUGAGAACAUUUGAAGAUACAAACAAUAGAAAAAAAUGAAACUGGUAUAAAGUUAUAGCACCUUUAAAAGCACAAGGCCCAGCUGUGUCUCAAGUAGGUCCUCUUAAACUUAAUGGAAAAGUUAAUUCCUGUGUUGUUCAAACUAUUCUUUUGGUUAAUGGGAGCAAAGGAAGCAUAUCUCUCCCUCCAUUUAUUUCUUAAAACAACUGAAAACCAAAAGAAAAAUCAACGUACAAAGAAAAAAACUCCUCCAAUUUUGUUAAAAAUAAACACCAUUAAAAAUUAUAAACCAAACUAUGAAGACUAGUUGUUAGUGCCAUAACAAUUUAACCUUUCUUCAAAAAAUGGUGAGAGUAGAUGCAGACACCUGAGCAAAUAUGGCAUGUUAAACACAUAGAGAGACUUAUUUUCCCACCUGAAACUAUAACAUGAUGGCAAAUGGCUUAUUCAAGUGAUAUAAAAAGAAAACAGCAACAGUUUUGAAAAUAGGAAGUCCAUAAAUGGCUGGUAACUCACUUAGCUUACCAAAAAGUGCAAAAUUGUAAGUAGCGGGGAAAUCUGAUUCUACAAAAUGUUCGUAAAUUGGUUGCACAGGAUACCUCUGAAAGUAGAAGUAAAGGUAGGGCUAAAACCCAGGAACACUGGUUGAAAGACUGUUUCCAAUGCCCACUCCAUCAAGCCUCGUGAAUGCCUCUAGGUUCUGCUGGUGGAAAAGUAGACAUUUGCUGUCUAGAGAGGUAGCAGGGAAUCUCAGUACUGGCAAUAUCAUCUUCAUUGGUCAUACAUAAAUUAGGGGGGCAAAAUGAACAGUAACUACUGAAAGCUAGAUCUCCCCAAUUUUCACCUCUAUCUAGAUUCAAAACAUAACAGUCUAUUAGUCUUAUACCCUCAGAGAAGACUGGAAGACUCUAGUUGGAAGAUCAUGAUCAGCCCAAAGGAAUAGACCAGUGGAUAUGUCAUGAGGGGCUUUUCUGGGAAAAGUUCUCAACCUGAUUGCCCUGUCUGGAAGCCACAGUUGACAAUUAUUACUUAAGAACCUGAAGCUUACUGUAAAUGUUUAUUGUACUGCUUUUCAACACAAACAGAUAACCAACAAUCACGAGAUUCUAGGUACAGCCAAUAACAAACACAGAAACAAAAAAAAAACAAAACACCUGAAAGUAAACAGAGUGUAUACCGUGUGGGAAAAAAGUAAUUAUUAAUUUUCUCAGAGAGGGAAGAUAAUACAACAAGAACAAGGUGUGUUAUAAAAUGGAUAUUCAAAAAAAUAGAAUUCUUAAAAAUUAAGAAAUUUAUUGCAGAAAUACAUAACUUAAUGGGAGAUUUGGAAGGUAAAGCUGACUGCAUCUCCAGAAAAGUUAGUGUAAACAGAGUUGGGAAUGAGAAAGGGAAAGUUUAAUGAAUUAAAUAAUUGGUCCUAUAGGGCCAGCAACAAAAUACAGGCAUUUGGGAAAAGAAAAAAAUACAAUGAAGUAUGAUAUAUAUAAAUAAUUUUAUGAAAUGGGUAAGAGUUAAAGUGUAUGAAUUUCAGAUUGAAUGUGUCCACCAGAAUUCAAGCCAGUGGUGAAAAUAGACCUAGACCAACACACACACACAGACACACACACACACACACACACACACACACAAAUCAGCACACUCCAGAAGAAAAAAAAAGAAGACACUUCAAAUUUCCAGAGAAGAGAAAUAAAAGUGGUCACUAGAAGAGAAGCAAAGCCUUAUAAAUUGCAAAAUAAAUUAUUUCUAAUGCAGAAUAGUAUCUCCAACCAAACUGUAAAUCAGAUAGGAGGAACCAAUAAUAAGCAUUUACAGCAUGGCAAGAUUCUAAAACUCUACAUCCAAUACAUCCUAUCUCAGGAAUUUACUGGAGAAGAGUUUCACUAAAAUGAGGAAGUAAAUGAAGAAAGGGUAGGGUAUAAAGUACAGGGAAUCUCCUGGUUUUUAGAUGUACAGUAUGUGUACACAGCAACCUGUGUAAAUUAGAGUUAUCUAGAAAAAAAAUUUUCAAAAAGAUAAAUCUGAUAAAAUGUCUAAGGCUUCUGAAUGCAUUAUGAGACUCAUUAGAAAACUGGGUUAGAGUUUGGAGUUGGUACUUUGAUACAUACAUAGAAAAAUGAACAAAACAAAAAUUUUUAAAAAUUGUCAGUUUAAGGGAAAGAAUGUUGUGUAGAAAUGAAAUUCAAUCAUUUAUGCUCCAUGUUUCACGUGUGAGUAACAUUUACCUAAUUAUAACAGUACUAGUGUUACUGGAAAAUGGGGUCCUGAUCCACACUUCAAGAGAGGGUUCUUGGGUCUCACACAGGAAAGAAUUCAAGGUGAGUCACAGAGUACAAUGAGAAGAAGACAUAGUUUAUUGAAAGCUACUGUCUUUUAGAGUAGGGCAUCCUCAGAAAGCAAGUGAAGGAAUGCACCCUCUUUGUUUUCAGUUUUUCUGUUAUAGGAGUUUUGUCUGUGUAAAGACUAAAUUGGAAACAAAAUAACAAGAAGAAGGAAUUUAUGCAUAAUCUUCAAAUCAUGAGGAGUAAAAUUUAUACAGGACCUAUCGCUUAAAGAGUUUCAUAGUGGUUACCAGUGGGCAUUUGGUGAUGUUUAUCAAUGUGAUUCUUGAAUGUAAAAAGGACUACUUAUAAGAUUUCAUAUUCUGAACUAAUGUGCAGCAUAUUAUGUUAAAUUGUUAACCAAUUUAAAAAAUUUUUGAGUUUAAAUUAGAAAUCUUAUUGUUCUAUUUAUAAAUCUAGUACAUUAAAAAUUAUUUUUAAGGGGGACUUUGAUUAAUGUUUGGUCCAUUUACAACAUAGUUAAUUAAACUCCCUUAAAGAUUUUAAACUACAUUUAUAAAUUUAAUAUGUUCAAUUAUCUUUGUGAACAUUUUAAUUAUCAAACUAACAAAUAAAGCUUUCAGAGUACUUAAACAACCCUUAUAGAGCUAAUAAAUUAAACUCACAAAAUCACGAAUCUUAAAUUAUCUUCAAUGUUAAACCACUACUAGCAACUCGGUAAAGCUGCUUAUAAUUUCAACUAAAAACAAACCCAAUAUCUAAAAUACUCUGUUACACAUUUAAAAUUGGAAUGUAAAAUGCUAAUCUAUAUUUAAAUACUAAUACAAUUAUAAAUAAAUAUCACAUCUCUAAAGUAUAAAUAUUAUAGUUUUCAUAUACUUCAUCAUCUCUAAACUUUUUUUCAAUGUUUUCCUGGGAUAAAAAAAUCAUAAAACAAUUAGAUUAUCUUAAGCAAAUGGGGUUAUCACCUCAGUGAGUUGUGGCUACUUUUUCAGGUUGUUUACCUCUCAGAGAUUUUGACUGGAAAAUGAGAUCUGGAGCUUCAGAUACUCAGGGUAAUUGUUUGUUUUUCCCUCAUUAAUAUGGGAACAAAUUCUAACGUUGUAAAAAUUAUGUUAAUAGAGAUUCCAAGCCCAUGAACUCUAAGUGAAAUGGCCAUGCAAUCCAUGUUUUCUAGAUCCAUGUUGCCUAUAUCUUUAGCCUGAUUUUAAUAUCUAACCUCCCUACUCUGAUUGUUUAAGUACUAGAUUAAAUUCAAAAAUCUAUUUACUGUAUGAUUUUUGACAGAGUUCUUUUUAUAUUCUUCAUACCUGGUGAAGUCAUAACUUUUCUAGAUAUUUAAAUGACAUACACAUGUAUUAUUUAAUCUCAUGUGUAUAUCUGAUUCUGUGGUCACAUUUUCCAAGGCCAGAUAAAUGACUGUAGCCAGACAGAUGUAGGGCUAGGUGUAAAAAGAGAUAUUCCCACAGAUUAUAUAGUUGCUGUGUAGAGAAAACUCUCUAGGCUUUUCCUCUAGUCUCACAUCACAAAGAUCAAUCAGCAACACAGAAGACUUCUGUGACCAAAUGUGUGGGUUUUUUCCUCCAUACAUACACCAAGGAGCAGACACCAGCUGAGUGUCCUCUAAUUCAGUUCUGGCACUACACUGUCUACCUGGAGAUAGUGUCAGGUCUCACAGGUCAGUCCCCAAGACUGCCCACCCUCAACCUACCAGCCACAAGUCCAGACCUCUGAACUUCUGACCUACUGGGUUCAAGUUGGGUUCUCAUGACCCCCUCUUUGGGUUUGAUUCAUUUGUUGGCGUGGCUCACAGAACUCAAGGAAACACUUACAUUUCCUGGUGUAUUAUAAAGGAUAUUGCAAAGGAUAUAGAUGAAGAGACACU